AAAGAUUAAGCCAUGCAUGUCUAAGUAUAAACGAUCUAAUCGUGAAACCGCGAAUGGCUCAUUAUAACAGCUAUAAUUUACUUGAUCUUGACACUAUCCUACUUGGAUAACUGUGGUAAUUCUAGAGCUAAUACAUGCAUUAAAGCUCUGACCUCACGGGAAGAGUGCACUUAUUAGAACAAAACCAAGCGGCUUCGGCUGUUUUCGGUUGACUCAUAGUAACUGAGCUGAUCGCACGGUCUUGCACCGGCGACGUGUCUUUCAAGUAUCUGCCGUAUCAACUCUCGAUGGUAGUGUAUCUGACUACCAUGGUGAUCACGCGUAACGGAGAAUAAGGGUUCGGCUCCGGAGAGUUCGCCUGAGAAAUCGCGAACACAUCUAAGGAAGGCAGCAGGCGCGAAAAUUACCCACUCUCAGCACGAGGAGGUAGUGACGAAAAAUAACGAGACCGUUCUCUUAUGAGGCCGGUCAUCGGAAUGGGUACAAUUUAAACCCUUUAACGAGUAUCUAUGAGAGGGCAAGUCUGGUGCCAGCAGCCGCGGUAAUUCCAGCUCUCAAAGUGCAUAGAAUUAUUGCUGCGGUUAAAAAGCUCGUAGUUGGAUCUGUGCCAUAGGAUGUGGUCCACCUUCUGGGUGCGUACUAUGUUCCUAGGCUUUUUGCUGGUUUUCCCGUCGUAGCCUUCAUUGGUUGCGGCGGGUGGCUGGCGAGUUUACUUUGAGAAAAUCAGAGUGCUCAACACAGGCGUAUCGCUUGAAUGAUUGUGCAUGGAAUAAUAGAAAAGGACCUCGGUUCUAUUUUGUUGGUUUUCGGAACCCGAGGUAAUGAUUAAGAGGAACAGACGGGGGCAUUCGUAUUCCGGCGCUAGAGGUGAAAUUCUUGGACCGCCGGAAGACGGACGACUGCGAAAGCAUUUGCCAAGAAUG
rnacentral:rRNA from 1 species